AUUGAACGCUGGCGGCAUGCUUUACACAUGCAAGUCGAACGGUAACAGGCCGCAAGGUGCUGACGAGUGGCGAACAGGUGAGUAAUGCAUCGGAACGUGCCCAGUCGUGGGGGAUAACGCAGCGAAAGCUGCGCUAAUACCGCAUACGAUCUAUGGAUGAAAGCGGGGGACCGUAAGGCCUCGCGCGAUUGGAGCGGCCGAUGUCAGAUUAGGUAGUUGGUGGGGUAAAGGCUCACCAAGCCGACGAUCUGUAGCUGGUCUGAGAGGACGACCAGCCACACUGGGACUGGGACACGGCCCAGACUCCUACGGGAGGCAGCAGUGGGGAAUUUUGGACAAUGGGCGCAAGCCUGAUCCAGCAAUGCCGCGUGCAGGAAGAAGGCCUUCGGGUUGUAAACUGCUUUUGUACGGAACGAAACGGCUCUGGUUAAUACCCUGGGCUAAUGACGGUACCGUAAGAAUAAGCACCGGCUAACUACGUGCCAGCCGCCGCCGUAAUAC
rnacentral:rRNA from 1 species